CUGGUUUGCAGACGCCCGCGCACCUCGCAAGAGCCACACCUGGUACCUGUGCCCAGCUGCAAGAGGCCCAUGGCUAUCUGGCCGGUAAGGAUCCACAAGGCUGCAAGGCACUUUUGUAUGUUUCCUGGUUGCACAUGUGUGUUGCUUUCUCUUGGAUGGAGGGGCCAUGGAGACGUGGACACAUCUGAAUGGAGUGGCAGAGGGACAGAUGACCAUGGGUACAAACUUCAUCUCCCAGGAACAGGUGUGGAAGGUGGGAUUUGAAGCCUGACCAGGAGGUCUGCCUGGGCAUCUGCACUUCCGGCAGUUCAGGUUUGAUUUCUAGUGUCUCAAAUCUAUGCAACGAUGCCUUGGCCAUGAGCUGGGUUACAGCAAAAAACUAAGGUGAAUUUUCACAAAAUUGAGGAGCAUUGCUUGCAGUCGACUAAGAUGUCUUUCUUCACAUUGUUAACUAAUGAGGUCAGGCGUGCCCGUUAGGAAAGUGAGCGGGUUUGUAGGCAGAAGGGCCAGGGCAGCAGAUGGGGCUUUAGUGGGUUCACACUUGAUGGCCCAGGGCUGGUGAGCCCUGUGGUGUGGGAAAGAUUACGCAGGAAGUCAGGGCGCCAUCUCUCCUCGGUGUUCCAAUUCCAAGCCUCAGUUCCACACACAGAAUAACCAUAAACAGGGAAAUCCGGCUCUCUGCAUCUGUCGUGUAUGCUGUCAUGUAUGCAGAGAGCUGAAUUUGAGAGGGCAGCUGCAGCACAUUCCGAACAGGAGGAGUUGAAAUUCACCUGCCCUCAGCAAUGCCCGAUUUGAAGUGCAGGUCCUAGGUUUCAGAGUUGGUACCCAAGGUUGCAAAGGGUGAGGGCAGUCAGGAAACUUGUGUGAGGAAACUUGUGUGAGGAAACUCAGUGUAGACAAUUGCUUGUCCAACUAGGUGAAAAGCAAAAGAUCCUUUUAAUUCUGGAGUAGACAUUAAGAAUUUCUUGAUUUCUUGGGCAGCUUACAAUAAAAACUCAAUGUGGCAGGCUGGGCGUGGUGACUCACACCUGUAAUCCUAGCACUUUGGGAGGCCAAGGCAGGAGGAUCUCUUGAGGCCAGGAGUUUGAGACCAGCCUGGGCAGCAUAGUGAAACCCCAUUUCUACAAAAAUGAACUAAUUAGCUGGGUGCGGUGGGGGAUACCUGUGGUCCCAGCUACUCUGGAUGCUGAGGUGGGAGGAUCACUUGGGCCCAGGAGUUCAACGCUGCACUGAGCUAUGAUUGCAUUGCUGCACUCCAGCCUGGGCAACAGAUUGAGAUUCUGUAUCUAAAAAACAAAAUAAAAUAAAAUUUAACAAAACUCAAUCUUGUAUUAUUUCAUGCCUACGAUAUUUAAUGGGGCCCCCAUACAUUGAUUCUUAACCUUUUGGGGCUCAAAAUCCCUGAAACGUCUGAUGAGAGUGAUAGCCCUUCUCUCCGAAAAGACUCAUAUAACCCAGCGACAUUGUGCUCACACUCUGGGGGUCCCCUGUGCCACAGGCUGGGAAGCCUGCUCUGAGGGGAGGCAUGGUCUCUGCAGGCUGCAGCCGACCCUUCAGUGCUUUGUGCUAUUAACAAGCUGGGCACUCCGGACACUUGUUUUGGUUGUGGCUGUUGCUGGGCUUGGAUGUUUAUUUUCCUUCCAAAUAUAGGAACAAAGGUGAUGUUCUUUUCACUGACUUCUAUAUGUGUUUUUCUGUCCAAAAAAAGUGGCCAAAGAAGCCUGUGUUCAGAGCUAAUUCCAGGACUUUCCCAACUGGGCAGGAGGGCAGAGCAGACUCUGCUUCGUGCAAUGGGGGUGUCAGCGUCAACAGCAGCACGUCCAAGACACCA
rnacentral:lncRNA from 1 species